AGGACAAGGAGGGGGUUAUUAAUUAAUUAAGGUGGGAAACCCUGUGGGCAUGUGAGAUUUAGAGAGUUUUAACUUACCAGCCAGGUUAAAAGGCUUUCUAUGGGCACUCAGCACUCACUGAAUCUGGAAUACAGUUAAUGUAAAAAAGAAAAAAAAAAAGGCUCAUACUACCACUGCUGCUUCCAGCACAUGUCCAGGUACCACAGGAAAAAAAUUAGAAUCCAGGCAGGAUGUCCAGUUUUAUUCUAUCAAAUGCCACAGAAACAAAGGGAACAAUCCAUUUUUCCUGAUAGAAGCCAACAGUUCGUAAGAGGUUUGAGAUGAGUGUAAGGAUACAAUUUGCCUAGAGAGUGCCUGAGGAUCAAGACAACCUGACUUUCCACGGAAUGAGUCUGUCAGCUGGCAUCUUGCAGUAAUUGCUUCCCAUGGCAGGACCUUACCAGCCGAGGGAGGACUGCUCUCGUCAACCCAAGAAUCAAUUUCUACAGUAGCUGAAUGAUAAUUGUUUGCUAAGGCUCGGGGAACUUGUUGCCAAGCCUGAAAAGGGGGCUGAAGCUAUGAUUGGCACUCAUUAACCCGGGAUUUGGAUUUGAUCAUUUACCUUAGUAGAAGAAUGUGUGGGGGUAAAAGAAGGAGAGGACUGCAAAAUGUUCUUUUGUUUGGAAGAAACAAAUGAAAUCAAUCACAGAAUGGGUAUCUGAAUGUCAAGCCUGAAACCAUGUCAGUCUUCACUCAAACAGACCAAAUAACAUGCACUAUCAGGUGAUUUGAAUGCUUUCCUUCAAGUAGAAACAUCUCUUUGGAAUUUUUUCCCUGAUAGAUACCAAUGUUUGCAUAUUUUGUUUGCUGUGUUAAGUACAUCCUGGUGACCGGUAUCCUGAACUUACAUUACUGGGUUACGCUGUAAAGAAAGGGGGAGAAAAUAUGUGAGAGAUCCAGAAGACUAAAUUCUGAAUUCCACAGUGAAAAGUAUGCUUUUGCAGGAGGUGUUCACCACUGCUUCACAUACUGCCUUCACAGUUUUGUUUCCUAGCAUCUGCUGAUCAUUUAUGUGACCUUUCAAAAUCUACUGACAAACACAUAAGCAUUAUUUUUUUUUCUAUAUUACAACAAAUGUAUGCAUAUCACACUGCCAGCACUGGUUCAGGGAGAAGCACAGGGCAGUGACUAAGUCAAUACUAUGCUAUUUAGAAGA
rnacentral:lncRNA from 1 species